rnacentral:rRNA from 1 species
AGGGAAUAUUGGACAAUGGGCGCAAGCCUGAUCCAGCAAUGCCGCGUGUGUGAAGAAGGCCUGCGGGUUGUAAAGCACUUUCAGAUGGGAAGAAAAGCUUUAGGUUAAUACCCUUGAGUGUUGACGUUACCAUCAGAAGAAGCACCGGCUAACUCUGUGCCAGCAGCCGCGGUAAUACAGAGGGUGCGAGCGUUAAUCGGAAUUACUGGGCGUAAAGCGUACGUAGGUGGCUCGGUCAGUCGGGUGUGAAAGCCCAAGGCUUAACCUUGGAAUUGCAUUCGAUACUGCCAAGCUAGAGUACAGUAGAGGAAAGCGGAAUUCUUAGUGUAGCGGUGAAAUGCGUAGAUAUUAGGAAGAACACCAGUGGCGAAGGCGGCUUUCUGGACUGAUACUGACACUAAGGUACGAAAGCGUGGGGAGCAAACA